rnacentral:misc_RNA from 1 species
UCUAUUUUAACGGUGUUGGUUGCGGCCCCUGGUAACCCCGGGCGGUAGAGGUAACACUCGCACGCGCCACAUGCCUUAAUCCUUUUUUACGAGCACCUUUCGUUCUCCUUCGGUGGGGCAACCUGCCGCUGGAACUUAUCAAAAACCUUUUUUGCAUCUAGCAUUACCUGUUCUGAUACAAACAAUCGUUA